GAUGAACGCUGGCGGUAUGCCUUACACAUGCAAGUCGAACGGAGAUUAGCUUCGGUUAAUUUUAGUGGCGAACGGGUGAGUAACACGUAGGUAACCUGCCCUUAAGACGAGGAUAACCAAGGGAAACUUUGGCUAAAACUGGAUAGGAACAUUGGAGGCAUCUCUGAUGUUUUAAAAGACCUAGCAAUAGGUAUGCUUAAGGAGGGGCCUGCGGCGCAUUAGUUAGUUGGUGAGGUGAAGGCUUACCAAGACGAUGAUGCGUAGCCGGACUGAGAGGUUGAACGGCCACAUUGGGACUGAGAAACGGCCCAAACACCUACGGGUGGCUG
rnacentral:rRNA from 1 species